ensembl:lncRNA novel transcript
UAAAAAACAAAGAACACUUUAUUCCCUUGACAGUUUCUGUACAGCGACACCAGGCUGUGCAAAGCCCAGUGUCGUCUUCACUGAGCACAUUCCCCAGGACGCCUGGUGCAGCCCUCCUCUGCCCCAGGCCCCAACUAGCCACCCCUGUGCCCACUAGCAGGCCCUGUGCCUUCACAGGGAUGAAGCCCUGGCACUGAGAAUGCCUGGGAGGCACCGUUUGCUGGGGAGCAGAGGGACUGACCUUUGGCUUCUUUGUGGCUGGAGGUGUUCCAGGCCUGGUGAGGGGGUCCCAUACUGUUCUCUGCUGAGCCCUCUGCACACUUUGGGGGAUCCUGGCUGGCGGUGGUAGGUGGGCCGGAGACUCAGUUGUCCGUCAGCUGGCCAUGUCCCCAUUUUAUGGACAGGGCAGGAGCACAAUGACGUGGCCAG